rnacentral:ribozyme from 1 species
UCUUCUUCUUCUUUUUCUUCUUCUUUUUCUUCUUCUUUUUCUUUUUA